rnacentral:lncRNA from 1 species
GGGCUUGGUGGAGGUGGCAGACUUGGCGGAGGUUUAUAGACGGGAGUAGGUGGUGGGCUUGGUGGAGGAGGUGGUGGACUUGGCGGAGGUUUAUAAAUAGGAAUAUGUGGUGGAGGUAGAGUAGGUGGUGGGCUUGGUGGAGGAGGUGGUGGACUUGGCGGAGGUUUAUAAAUAGGAAUAUAUGGUGGAGGUAAAGUAGGUGGUGGGCUUGGUGGAGGAGGUGGUGGACUUGGCGGAGGUUUAUAGACAGGAACAUGUGGUGGACUUGGUGGUGAUGGGUUUGGUGGAGAAGGUGGUGGACUUGGCGAAGGUUUAUAGAUAGGAAUAUGUGGUGGACUUGGUGGAGUAGGUGGUGGGCUUGGUGAAGAAGGUGGAGGACUUGGCGGAGGUUUAUAAACGGGAGUAGGUGGUGGGCUUGGUGGAGAAGGUGGUGGACUUGGCGGAGGUUUAUAGAUGGGAGUAGGUGGUGGGCUUGGUGGAGGAGGUGGUGGACUUGGCGGAGGUUUAUAGAUUGGAAUAUGUGGUGGAGGUAGAGUAGGUGGUGGACUUGGCGGAGGUUUAUAGAUAGGAAUAUGUGGUGGAGUUGGUGGAGGAGGUGGUGGACUUGGCGGAGGUUUAUAAACGGGAGUAGGUGGUGGGCUUGGUGGAGUAGGUGGUGGACUUGGCGGAGGUUUAUAAACGGGAGUAGGUGGUGGACUUGGUGGAGUAGGUUGUGGGCUUGGUGGAGGUUUAUAGACAGGAAUAUGUGGUGGACUUGGUGGAGUCGGUGGUGGGUUUGGUGGAGAAGGUGGUGGACUUGGCGGAGGUUUAUAGAUGGGAGUAGGUGGUGGGCUUGGUGGAGGAGGUGGUGGACUUGGCGGAGGUUUAUAGACAGAAGUAGGUGGUGGACUUGGUGGAGGUUUAUAGAUAGGAGUGGGUGGUGAGCUAGGUGGAGGAGGUGGUUGACUUGGCGGGGGUUUAUAGAUGGGAGUAGGUGGUGGGCUUGGAGGAGUAGGUGGUGGACUUGGCGGGGGUUUAUAGAUGGGAGUAGGUGGUGGUGGGCUUGGUGGAGGAGGUGGAGGUGGUGGACUUGGCGGAGGUUUAUAGACGGGAGUAGGUGGUGAACUUGGAGGAGUAGGUGGUGGGCUUGGUGGAGGAGGUGGUGGACUUGGCGGAGGUUUAUAGACGGGAGUAGGUGGUGGACUUGGAGGAGGUUUAUAGAUGGGAGUAGGUGGUGGACUUGGAGGAGUAGGUGGUGGGCUUGGUGGAGGCUUAUAGACGGGAGUAGGUGGUGGGCUUGGUGGAGGAGGUGGUGGACUUGGCGGAGGUUUAUAGAUAGGAGUAGGUGGUGGACUUGGAGGAGGCUUAUAGACGGGAGGAGGUGGUGGACUUGGCGGAGGUUUAUAGAUGGGAGUAGGUGGUGGACUUGGCGGAGGUUUAUAGACGGGAGGAGGUGGUGGACUUGGUGGAGGUUUAUAGAUGGGAGUAGGUGGUGGGCUUGGUGGAGGAGGUGGUGGACUUGGCGGGGGUUUAUAGAUGGGAGUAGGUGGUGGGCUUGGUGGAGGAGGUGGAGGUGGUGGACUUGGCGGAGGUUUAUAGACGGGAGUAGGUGGUGAACUUGGUGGAGGUGGUAGACUUGACGGAGGUUUAUAAACCGGAGUAGGUGGUGGGCUUGGUGGAGGAGGUGGUGGACUUGGCGGAGGUUUAUAGACGGGAGUAGGUGGUGAACUUGGUGGAGGUGGUAGACUUGACGGAGGUUUAUAAACCGGAGUAGGUGGUGGGCUUGGUGGAGGAGGGGGUUGACUUGGCGGAGGUUUAUAGACGGGAGUAGGUGGUGGACUUGUCGGAGGUUUAUAGAUGGGAGUAGGUGGUGGACUUGGAGGAGUAGGUGGUGGGCUUGGUGGAGGAGGUGGUUGGCUUGGUGGAGGCUUAUAGACGGGAGUAGGUGGUGGGCUUGGUGGACUUGGCGGAGGUUUAUAGAUGGGAGUAGGUGGUGGACUUGGCGGAGGUUUAUAGAUGGGAGUAGGUGGUGGACUUGGAGGAGGUUUAUAGAUGGGAGUAGGUGGUGGACUUGGCGGAGGUUUAUAGACGGGAGGAGGUGGUGGACUUGGUGGAGGAGGUGGUGGACUUGGCGGAGGUUUAUAGCUAGGAGUAGGUGGUGGACUUGUAGGAGGAGGUGGUGGACUUGGCGGAGGUGUAUAGAUGGGAGGAGGUGGUGGACUUGGCGGAGGUUUAUAGAUGGGAGUAGGUGGUGGACUUGGUGGAGGAGGCGCCGGACUUGGUGGAGAUGGUGGUGGUUUCUGGUAAGUCGGAGGUGUUUGACCAGGUGGUGGAGAUUCAGGAGGAGCUUGGUCAUAAGCUGAACUUGGUACCACUUUCAAUAGUGAUCUCCUAUAGACCUUUGGUUGAGGGUAAUUUGCAUAAGGCACCUUCUGAGAGGGCCUAUAUGCUGGAUAAGUUUGCUUACGUACCUUAGGAGGUUUUCUCUGUGGACUUGAGGAAGUUCCAUCAAUGAACGAUGAAGGUUGUGAAG